rnacentral:rRNA from 1 species
GUGUCAGCAGCCGCGGUAAGACGAGCCUCACGAACGUUAUUCGGAAUUACUGGGCUUAAAGGGUGCGUAGGCGGCGCGGAAAGUAGGGUGUGAAAUCCCUCGGCUCAACCGAGGAACUGCGCUCUAAACUACCGUGCUCGAGGGAGAUAGAGGUAAGCGGAACUUAGGGUGGAGCGGUGAAAUGCGUUGAUAUCCUAAGGAACACCGGUGGCGAAAGCGGCUUACUGGAUCUCUUCUGACGCUGAGGCACGAAAGCUAGGGUAGCGAACGGGAUUAGAUACCCCUGUAGUCC